rnacentral:rRNA from 1 species
AGAUUGAACGCUGGCGGCAUGCCUAACACAUGCAAGUCGAACGGGAGUAGCAAUACUCUAGUGGCGGACGGGUGAGGAAUACGUAGGAAUUUGCCCUUAAGUGGGGGAUAACCCGGGGAAACCCGGAUUAAUACCGCAUGACCUCGAAAGAGCAAAGUGGGGGAUCGCAAGACCUCACGCUUUUGGAGAAGCCUACGUCGGAUUAGCUAGUUGGUGAGGUAAUGGCUCACCGAAGGCGACGAUCCGUAACUGGUCUGAGAGGAUGAUCAGUCACACCGGAACUGAGACACGGUCCGGACU